rnacentral:rRNA from 1 species
CCUACGGGAGUCAGCAGUGAGGAAUAUUGGUCAAUGGACGAGAGUCUGAACCAGCCAAGUAGCGUGAAGGAUGACUGCCCUAUGGGUUGUAAACUUCUUUUAUAAAGGAAUAAAACGAGGCACGUGUGCCUUUUUGCAUGUACUUUAUGAAUAAGGAUCGGCUAACUCCGUGCCAGCAGCCGCGGUAAUACGGAGGAUCCGAGCGUUAUCCGGAUUUAUUGGGUUUAAAGGGAGCGUAGAUGGGUUGUUAAGUCAGUUGUGAAAGUUUGCGGCUCAACCGUAAAAUUGCAAUUGAUACUGGCAGUCGUGAGUACAGUUGAGGUAGGCGGAAUUCGUGGUGUAGCGGUGAAAUGCUUAGAUAUCACGAAGAACCCCGAUUGCGAAGGCAGCUUACUAAACUGUGACUGACAUUGAUGCUCGAAAGUGUGGGUAUCAAACAGGAUUAGAUACCCUAGUAGUC